UACGAAGGGGGCUAGCGUUGUUCGGAAUCACUGGGCGUAAAGGGCGCGUAGGCGGCUUUAUAAGUCGGGGGUGAAAGCCUGUGGCUCAACCCCAGAAUUGCCUUCGAUACUGUAGAGCUUGAGACCGGAAGAGGUGAGUGGAACUGCGAGUGUAGAGGUGAAAUUCGUAGAUAUUCGCAAGAACACCAGUGGCGAAGGCGGCUCACUGGCCCGAUACUGACGCUGAGGCACGAAAGCGUGGGGAGCAAACAGG
rnacentral:rRNA from 1 species